ACUCUGGAGACAGAGCUUUCCCUUCGGGGACAAAGUGACAGGUGGUGCAUGGUUGUCGUCAGCUCGUGUCGUGAGAUGUUGGGUUAAGUCCCGCAACGAGCGCAACCCUUGAUUUUAGUUGCCAGCAGUUAGUUGGGCACUCUAAAGUGACUGCCGGUGCAAGCCGGAGGAAGGUGGGGAUGACGUCAAAUCAUCAUGCCCCUUAUGACCUGGGCUACACACGUGCUACAAUGGAUAGUACAAAGGGUCGCGAAG
rnacentral:rRNA from 1 species